GUAGUCAAAGUCGAGCUCGCUCACUGUAUUUGGGGAAAUUAUGGAUCGUCAUACUCCCAUGCAUGCUUUGCCUGAAGAAAUCCAGAAGAUUUCAUAUAGCACUGAAGUGAACAGGUGGAUGAUAAGACAAAUAACCCCAACAUAAGGAGGGAAAGUCUUCACUUCAGAAAUCCCUGUAGAACUGAUCUGAAGCCUUAAGGGAUGCAGUUGAAUGACCCCAAGAAUCAAUCAAUCAGAUAUGGGGUCAUUAGCAGAGACACAAACACAGUGGACAAGGCUGGAAUCUAAUAACAGUUGUACUGCAAGUUUUCCUGAAACAAUUUUUCUUUCUCUAGUUCCCCAUUUCUACCAAACACAAAUCAUAGUAGGACCAAUUUAUUUGCAGAAUAAGUUCCAGUCCCAUUAUAUUUGGUGUGAUUAUUUGCAUAAAAUACAGCAAGAAUAGUUAUUUGCCACAUAGGUUUCUUUAAAAAAAAAUUGGCUUUGCUGGAAUUUAUUUCAUAAGGAGUCCCAGAUUAGACCUUUUAACAGUCUCUAGCUCAGCCAGGGAUUCAUCUGUGCCUGCAGCCACCUGUAUGAAUUGGGUGAAUUUCUGUUUUCUUGAGAACCCACUAUAACUCGUGGUUCCUUGUCUGUCAGAAAGUGACACACUUUACUUACUACAGGUUAAGAGCCCUGGAAAGGACAAAGUAUGAGACCAGUAUUUCCAAGGGGCUGUUAUCAGCUCUAUAAGUCAAUCUCAGUUGCUCAAAGCAGCCUGAAACCAUGCCAUUUCCAGUCACAUAAUCAGUGCCUCCAAUUGUAUCCUGUUGCAAACAAAACAAAACAAAAAAAACAAAAAAACAGAUUUUUUUUUUUUAAUAUUAUUGCCAUAAGCUAAGAAUACUUAACAAUUAGUUUCAAAAUUCUGGAGAAAUCAAGUAGAUAGAAAUAUGCUCCAAAGUUUGCUGAUUAGAAAUAUGCUUCACUCAAUUGUUAAAAGCUAUAAACAGCUCAAAAGAAAAGUUGAUUUUUUGACCCUGAAAAACAAAAAGGAUCAGAAACAUUUAAAGUAAAUAGUCAUAGAAAGAUUAUUUCAUUAUUCUCUUAGUUCAUCUCAUACAGUUAAUUCCUGUUCUGUUUGAUCAGCUGUUCCUGAGAGUCCUAGAAGUGUUUCUUUAUAUAUUAAUGGCACAAUCUUUAAAGAUAUCAGAAAUCUGCAUUCAAGAGCACCUGUCAGAGUCCCAUAACUGAUUAUAAAAUCACCCUUUGAAAUUAAUUGAAGUAAAAAUAAUUG